GUGGGGAAUUUUGGACAAUGGGCGAAAGCCUGAUCCAGCCAUGCCGCGUGCAGGAUGAAGGCCUUCGGGUUGUAAACUGCUUUUGUACGGAACGAAAAGACUCCUUCUAAUAAAGGGGGUCCAUGACGGUACCGUAAGAAUAAGCACCGGCUAACUACGUGCCAGCAGCCGCGGUAAUACGUAGGGUGCAAGCGUUAAUCGGAAUUACUGGGCGUAAAGCGUGCGCAGGCGGUUAUAUAAGACAGAUGUGAAAUCGCCGGGCUCAACCUGGGAACUGCAUUUGUGACUGUAUAGCUAGAGUACGGUAGAGGGGGAUGGAAUUCCGCGUGUAGCAGUGAAAUGCGUAGAUAUGCGGAGGAACACCGAUGGCGAAGGCAAUCCCCUGGACCUGUACUGACGCUCAUGCACGAAAGCGUGGGGAGCAAACAGGAUUAGAAACCCGUGUAGUCC
rnacentral:rRNA from 1 species